UGGACAACGUACCCUGGACACGGGGAUAGCGGCGGGCCGCAAGGCCCUUUAGCGAAAGUGCCGGUAAUACCCGAUGAUCCCGCGAGGUCGCAUGAUUUCGCGGGCAAAUGCUCCGACGGUCUGGGAUCGGUUCAUGUCCUAUCAGCUAGUUGGUGAGGUAACGGCUCACCAAGGCAACAACGGGUACCGGGCGUGAGAGCGUGACCCGGCACAUCGGAACUGAGAUACGGUCCGGACACCUACGGGUGGCUGCAGCAACGAAUAUUCCGCAAUGGACGCAAGUCUGACGGAGCGACGCCGCGUGUGGGAUGAAGUCCUUCGGGAUGUAAACCACUGUCAGGGGUGAGGAAGAAAGUGACCAACCCCAGAGGAAGCAUCGGCUAACUCCGUGCCAGCAGCCGCGGUAAUACGGAGGAUGCAAGCGUUGUUCGGAAUCACUGGGCUUAAAGCGCGUGUAGGCGGAGUGUCAGGUGUUGGGUGAAAUCCCCGGUCUCAACCCGGGAACUGCCUGGCAAACCGGCAUUCUUGAGGCAGGUAGAGGUGGCUGGAACGACUGGUGGAGCGGUGAAAUGCGUAGAUAUCAGUUGGAACGCCUGUGGCGAAAGCAAGUCACUGGGCCUGUCCUGACGCUGAGACGCGAAAGCGUGGGGAGCAAACAGGAUUAGAUACCCUGGUAGUCC
rnacentral:rRNA from 1 species